rnacentral:lncRNA from 1 species
CAAUUAAGAGCUAAAAAAAACAAACAACAUAUGCAAUAUACAUCAGAAAAAUCCCAUAAAAAAUGAGGGGAAACUUCACUUAUGGCCUAACCAAAACCAGACCACCUACUCUUAGCGUUCUAGACAUAGCAUCGAGUUUGAUGAGGGCUUUGAAAAGAGGAGGAAUCCUCCCCGUUCCACACUAGGGGGAAAACGAGGCUUGUUGUCACUCCGAAGGGAGCAGUCAAACUUAGCAUUGAGUUUGACGAGGGCUUUGAAAAGAGGAGGAAUCCUCCCCGUUCCAUAGUAGGGGGAAAACGAGGCUUGUUGUCACUCCGAAGGGAGCAGUCAAACUUAGAAACUAAGUCUAGAACCAUAGAAAGGUUACCCCACCGGUUCUUGUGUGCGUACCAAAGAAACAAAAGAGAUAGUUGCAAAUGUAAAACGUAAAACAGUGACACAAUUAAGAGCUAAAAAAAACAAACAACAUAUGCAAUAUACAUCAGAAAAAUCCCAUAAAAAAUGAGGGGAAACUUCACUUAUGGCCUAACCAAAACCAGACCACCUACUCUUAGCGUUCUAGACAUAGCAUCGAGUUUGAUGAGGGCUUUGAAAAGAGGAGGAAUCCUCCCCGUUCCACACUAGGGGGAAAACGAGGCUUGUUGUCACUCCGAAGGGAGCAGUCAAACUUAGAAACUAAGUCUAGAACCAUAGAAAGGUUACCCCACCGGUUCUUGUGUGCGUACCAAAGAAACAAAAGAGAUAGUUGCAAAUGUAAAACGUAAAACAACGAGACAAUUAAGAGCUAAAAAAAACAAACAACAUAUGCAUUAUACAUCAGAAAAAUCCCAUUCAGAUUGUUUUAUCUUCUCAUGUUGGGCUACUUCCAAGCAAUGUUUUAAGCGAAGGGUGGAUAAUAGCUCACUUGUUUAGUCUAAACUUGGGGAUUUCAAAUUUUGUCCAAAUUUCAAAAUUUUUCAAAAGUUUUUCAUUACAAUAAUGAGCAUCAUAGCUUCUUAGAUCUUGCAUAAAAGGCAUGACUGUCAACCCUUGAGCACUAAGCUCGGGUUUGUGACGUGAGAUUCUGA